rnacentral:rRNA from 1 species
GGCUCAGGAUGAACGCUAGCGGCAGGUCUUAAUACAUGCAAGUCGGUGGGGCAGCAUGAGUAGCAAUACUUGAUGGCGACCGGCAAACGGGUGAGGAACACGUACACAACCUUCCUUACAGCGGGGAAUAGCCCAGAGAAAUUUGGAUUAAUACCCCAUAAUAUAUUUGAUAAGGCAUCUUAUUAAUAUUAAAGCUUCGGCACUUGAUGAUGGGUGUGCGGCUGAUUAGAUAGUUGGCGGGGUAACGGCCCACCAAGUCUACGAUCAGUAGCUGAUGUGAGAGCAUGAUCAGCCACACGGGCACUGAGACACGGGCCCGACUCCUACGGGAGGCAGCAGUAAGGAAUAUUGGACAAUGGACGAAAGUCUGAUCCAGCCAUGCCCGCGUGAAGGAUUAAGGUCCUCUGGAUUGUAAACUUCUUUUAUAUGGGACGAAAAAAGGGCAUUCUUGUUCACUUGACGGUACCAUAUGAAUAAGCACCGGCUAACUCCGUG